GACGAACGCUGGCGGCGUGCUUAACACAUGCAAGUCGAACGGAAAGGCCCUGCUUUUGUGGGGUGCUCGAGUGGCGAACGGGUGAGUAACACGUGAGUAACCUGCCCUUGACUUUGGGAUAACUUCAGGAAACUGGGGCUAAUACCGGAUAGGAGCUCCUGCUGCAUGUUGGGGGUUGGAAAGUUUCGGCGGUUGGGGAUGGACUCGCGGCUUAUCAGCUGGUUGGGGGGGUAGGGGCUUACCAAGCGUUUGACGGGUAGCCGGCCUGAGAGGGUGACCGGCCACAUUGGGACUGAGGUACGGCCCAGACUCCUACGGGAGGCAGCAGUGGGGAGUCUUGCACAAUGGGCGGAAGCCUGAUGCAGCAACGCCGCGUGCGGGAUGACGGCCUUCGAGUUGUAAACCGCUUUCGCCUGUGACGAAGCGUGAGUGACGGUAAUGGGUAAAGAAGCACCGGCUAACUACGUG
rnacentral:rRNA from 1 species